AUGUCCCACUUUGCUACACCAUUUAUAGUUAUAAAUUUGGGUUGUGAAAUGGUAUAUGUUAUUGAUCAAAGGCUGCAAUCACAAAACGUACCUGCAGACAAAGCAGAAAGAGUGCUUACAGAUAUAGUGACUGUAUUGCUACACCCUAAGCUUCUAGAUGAACUGUUUAUACCACAACCGGUAGGCUCUCAUACUACAAUAAGGCAGCUGCUACAAGAUAUUUCCGCUACUUCCAUCAUGAAGCUGGACGAUUACUCUCUCAGCAAAUUAUGGGAUCUCAUGACUAUGAUAUUUAAAUGGCAACUUUCAGUAACAACUUGCCAAAACAUAUUUGACAUAAGCUGCCGACAUUUACGAAACAUAGCAUCUUUGAUGCCGGAAUACUUCUCAAAGGCUUUCAUAGAGAAUGCAUUGAGGAGAUUUGAAAUACUAUCAGAUAUGUUCACAGAUGAAGACUUCAAGGCAUUGAAUAACACUCUAAUACUCUGGUUUUCAGAAUAUCACACAAAAAUAUCCGUCCUCAUUAGACUAGGUCUACAACAUAAGGACGGUACUCUGAGUCUACCGUCAACAAUUGAUUCGAAAAUCCUACACAACUUAGGUGAAAACAUAUACAAAUAUGAUAUGAAAAGAUACUUCAUUGACGAAAACAGUACCGAUACGAAUUCAGGAGAAAUAAAAUGUUUACUUUCCAAAAUAGAUAAAGUGCAUCAUGACAAAAAAUCCAUUAAAUUACAACUACCGAUUGAAUUUGGGACAAAUGAAAAGAAAACUUUAGAAAUAAACAAAAAUCAGAAAUUUCAAUAUAUCAAUACAAACAUCAAAAAUAGGGAAAAUGAUUUAAUAUACACAGCACAUGCACAGAAGUCAACUCAGGAUGAUCUUCUGCAAAUGUUGGAAGAUGAUAUGAAUUAAAACAUAAAGUUGCAGCUUUUACAGCCAUACUUGAAUAGAGACAAAUAUGAAUUACAUUAAUAAUUGUUCAAUAUCUAUAAUUUGAUAUUUUGACAUAAACUAUACCUGCCUAUAAUGGAAAUUUAAGCAGGGCUGACUCAGAGGCAGCUGUUUAUGGUCUGAAAUUGUUUCCAGCUUCCCAUAGGUUAAAUAAUAUUUUAGCCAACUUACCACUUGCCAGUCAAUAUGAUGUAGGACUGAUGAUAUUCAUUGAUAGAAUAAUUGAGAAAUGCUGUCUGCAGUA